rnacentral:tRNA from 1 species
GUAAAUAUAGUUUAAAAAAAAACUUUAGACUGUGAAUCUAACAAUAGGAUAUAAACCUCCUUAUCUACC